GACGAACGCUGGCGGCGUGCUUAACACAUGCAAGUCGAACGGAAAGGCCCUGCUUGCAGGGUGCUCGAGUGGCGAACGGGUGAGUAACGCGUGGGUGAUCUGCCCCUUACUUUGGGAUAAGCCUGGGAAACUGGGUCUAAUACUGGAUAGGACCAUGCUGUAGGUGGUGUGGUGGAAAGAUUAGUUUCGGUAAGGGAUGAGCUCGCGGCCUAUCAGCUUGUUGGUGGGGUAAUGGCCUAACAAGGCGUCGACGGGUAGCCGGCCUGAGAGGGUGGACGGCCACAUUGGGACUGAGAUACGGCCCAGACUCCUACGGGAGGCAGCAGUGGGGAAUAUUGCACAAUGGGCGCAAGCCUGAUGCAGCGACGCCGCGUGGGGGCUGACGGCCUUCGGGUUGUAAACUCCUUUCGGCCAUGACGAAGCCCUUGUGGUGACGGUAGUGGUAGAAGAAGCACCGGCUAACUACGUG
rnacentral:rRNA from 1 species